rnacentral:rRNA from 1 species
AGAGUUUGAUCCUGGCUCAGAUUGAACGCUGGCGGCAGGCCUAACACAUGCAAGUCGAGCGAGCUUGCCUAGAUGAAUUUGGUGCUUGCACCAAAUGAAACUAGAUACAAGCGAGCGGCGAACGGGUGAGUAACGCGUAGGUAACCUGCCUUGUAGCGGGGGAUAACUAUUGGAAACGAUAGCUAAUACCGCAUAACAAUGGGUGACCCAUGUCAUUCAUUUGAAAGGGGCAAAUGCUCCACUACAAGAUGGACCUGCGUUGUAUUAGCUAGUAGGUGAGGUAACGGCUCACCUAGGCGACGAUACAUAGCCGACCUGAGAGGGUGAUCGGCCACACUGGGACUGAGACACGGCCCAGACUCCUACGGGAGGCAGCAGUAGGGAAUCUUCGGCAAUGGGGGCAACCCUGACCGAGCAACGCCGCGUGAGUGAAGAAGGUUUUCGGAUCGUAAAGCUCUGUUGUAAGUCAAGAACGAGUGUGAGAGUGGAAAGUUCACACUGUGACGGUAGCUUACCAGAAAGGGACGGCUAACUACGUGCCAGCAGCCGCGGUAAUACGUAGGUCCCGAGCGUUGUCCGGAUUUAUUGGGCGUAAAGCGAGCGCAGGCGGUUUGAUAAGUCUGAAGUUAAAGGCUGUGGCUCAACCAUAGUUCGCUUUGGAAACUGUCAAACUUGAGUGCAGAAGGGGAGAGUGGAAUUCCAUGUGUAGCGGUGAAAUGCGU